GCCUGGGUGGCUCAGUCAGUUAAGCAUCAGACUUGGGCUCAGGUCACAAUCUUGUGGUCCGUGAGUUCGAGUCCCACAUCAGGCU
rnacentral:tRNA from 1 species